rnacentral:lncRNA from 1 species
GAAAAGGCUGCUGAUGGAGAAGGUUAGAACUGCCUGGCAGAAGAUUACCGCCCGUUUGGUGAUUAACAAUCAGGACGGCCUUUUCCAAAGCUCUACCUCAUUUAGCAGACUGAGGUUUGAGCUAAGAAUAAGUCUUUGCUCUUAAAGCUGCGAGGAGGAGGGCGAACAGCAAUUUCCCACCAUUUUCACUGCUCUCCUGAUGUUUACGCCUGUGUCAGGCUCCGUCCUAAUUUUGCGGUCCCAGUUAACUGGCUUAACGCAAGCACAGGGAAGGCAAUCUUUGCUGAGCGUGCUCUUCCCGGGUUGGAAGCUAUGGGCUUGGCCGUGCCUGAGAACCUGAGCAGACCCCAGACGAGCAUGCUAAAGGGCUCCUCACGAUCCUCAGUUUGCUGUCUGCAGAAGGGCUCGCCCCGGGCUGUGUUGGGGUACUUAAUUCACUUUUCGUCUUGUGCGUGAAAACGGCUCCAAGAGAUUCUCCUCCUGCGGCAAGAGAUCUGGAAAGGUCUGAAAGUUUUCAGAGACUCAGCAGUGAAGGUCAUAAGAGGGACUGGAGUUUUGGCCCAUGCAUCUGCUCACUGAAACUCGGUCAUCUCAUAUCGAGGACAACAAACCAGCACCAGUCUGCAAGAGCACGGCAACGCAGAACCCAGAAAGAUCGUUUUUUAUUAUAUGAGCAGAAGCUUUUGGCUGCUCGGGAGUUCUCCUCUCUGUUGCAUGUGAAACUGCUGCAAAGGGAAUUAAUCACUGAGACAGCGUGA